CGGCGUGUGGCGCAGCCUGGUAGCGCACUUCAUUCGGGUUGAAGGGGUCGCAGGUUCAAAUCCUGCCACGCCGACCA
rnacentral:tRNA from 1 species